UACGAAGGGGGCUAGCGUUGCUCGGAAUUACUGGGCGUAAAGGGAGCGUAGGCGGACAUUUAAGUCAGGGGUGAAAUCCCAGAGCUCAACUCUGGAACUGCCUUUGAUACUGGGUGUCUUGAGUGCGGGAGAGGUGUGUGGAACUCCGAGUGUAGAGGUGAAAUUCGUAGAUAUUCGGAAGAACACCAGUGGCGAAGGCGACACACUGGCCCGUUACUGACGCUGAGGCGCGAAAGCGUGGGGAGCAAACAGG
rnacentral:rRNA from 1 species